UGGCGAGUGACCGGCCUGGAGUCGGAGUUGGUAACGGCUGUUGAGCCCGGGCAGCGCGUGCUUGUUGCCAUAGGAACACCACCCACACCGAGAGGAGGGGCAGCAACCGGGUGGAAAUGCUAGAAAUAGCUUCAUCUCUUCUCCAGCCAUUCAACCUGCUGCAUUUUUUAGAUUCCUGUGCCAUUUAAGUGUCGCAGUUUACAACAUUUUGAACAUCGUCUCAUUCAGUGCUCAUAACACUGUAAGAUGAACAUCCUUACUUCACAGGCAAGAUGGGGACCUGAGAAGUUGCCAGAGUCCCCAGGCCAGAGUCCUGUAGCCAGUUGUAUUCACCAGCUGAUUCUAAGCUAACUUUAUCUGCCUUUUUUCAUUUUGCUAAGCCAACAGUUUAAUUUUAAUUUUUACUCUUUGAAUUUUCUGGAUGUUUUGCUAUACAUUCUGGCCAGUUAAAACUCACUUGGGGCUAAAAGUUAUGGGCAGGCUAGUCGGAAGCAAAUACCACCUGCCAAUAAAUAUAUAAAACUUAAGGCCAGGGAUUUGCUCAGUGGUGCCACCGCCUGCCUCGCAAACACAAGGUCCCGGGUUCGAUCCUUGGUACGAAAACAAAAACAAAAACCUUCAGCUUCAUUAAUAAUAAAAAUGCAAAUACAAGAUACUAUAUAGCACCUAUCAAAAUGGCCAAGACUUGUGUACAAUUAUCGUAUUCUCAUGAUAGGAAUAUAUAAAUACUUUUUAACCCAGAUACACUUUGAAUAAAUAUCUGACCCAUUUGUAAGGGCAUGAUUUUAAAAGUUUAGAAUCUUAAGAGUUCAACAGGGAACUGACAGCAGAUUUUGGUAGUGAUGACAGGAUUUUGUGUCGUCACUGGAAGUGAUUGUAGAGAAAUGGGUUUUGCAUGUGCUGCUAGGGAUGGAACCCAGUGCCUGACUCCUAUAGCACGUGCUCUACUAAUGGGCCAUCUCCCAGUCCCAAAGUAUAUCUGACUGGGGUAGUUAUUUUUUAAUUGGUAGCUUGUCAAUUCCAUGAUCAUUUUUCUAUUCUCAGCAACACAACUCAAUUGAUGAUGUGGUAUUACCUCAGUGACAAGAGCCUUUCCAAGUUUUUCUCCUACCUCCUCAUGCUUUCAGUCUGUUUUGCGGGUGUCUCCCAUUCAGUUUGUAGUAGAAAUGCUCUGAGCCUCUUCUCCAUCUAUACCGUCCUUUACAAAUAUAUGCACACCCACAAAUACCAAACUUGUAUUUCAGGAUCCAAACUCUGGACUUUCAUAUCCAAACUCUGGACUUUCAUAUCCAGCUGACCACUUGAAGUUUCCCAUUAAUGCUUAAGCCUUUCAGGGUUUUUUUUUGAUACCGGGAAUCAAACUCAGGACCUUGUGCUUACAAGCCAGGCAUGGUGCCACUGGGCUAAAUCUCCAGCCUCGUUUCCAUCUUUUUAUUUUUAACAGGGUCUCACUAUGUAGUUCCAGCUGGCCUUGAACUCACUAGAGAGCCCAGGCUGGCCGCGAGCUCUGGUGAUGGACCUGCUUCAACCUCCUGAGUGCUUGAUCACAGGCGUGGGCCACCACACUAACCCUAGCCUCUUAGUUUUGAAAUGACUAAAAGUAGAAUUCCAGACUCUUCUCCUUUCACAAACCUAAGCCAUGAUCUCUUGGCAGCCUUCAAAGCAACUGACCACCACAUUUGGAACACAUUUUUCUCUUGAUUUAUGGAACUCAAAGCUCUCCAAUUUUCCUUGUGUUUCUUGAUCCUCUUCUGUUUUUUAAAUGUGGGAGUCACUCAAGACACCCAGCCCUCUUAUCUAAUAUGUCUUCCAAGAUGAUUUUACCCAAGCCCAUAGCAUGUAUGUUCAGAUUAGUCCUUCCAACAGAUAAUCUGUUGCAAAUUCCGAAAUAUAUGUAUCACUGUUCUGAGUACCCAAACAAAACAAAAUCAUGCUCCAAGGAUGUGAAGCAACCUGCAUUCUCAUGUGCUGGAAGAAUGUAUUGGAACAAGCACUUUGGAAAUUUGUAAUCGAACAUAAUACAUAACUUAUGACUAAGAAUUUUUUUUUUUUGGUACCAGGGAUUGAACUCAGGACCUUGUGAUUGCCAGACAGGCAGCGGCACCACUGAGCCCAGCCCCUAAGAAAUUUUGAGAUAUAGUUCAGCAGAGACACAUCAUUAGUACAAGGGUGUCAUUACAUUCCCCAGGCUGGCCUCUAAUUCAUGGACUCAAGUGAUGCUCCUGCCUCAGACGUCUUCUCAAGUAGCUGGGCCUACAGAUGUGCCACUGUGCCCAGUUUUUCAAGAUUUUUUUCCCCCACAAUGCUGAAGAUCAAACUGAGGGCCUCCCACAUGCUAGGCAAGUCCUCUACCAUUAACUACACCCUUAUCCCCUGAUCAUGUUUUUAGUAAGUUAUUAUCUUAUUAAAAUAAUAGUAACAAUAA